UUCUUUUGGAUUUUUCUCCUUGAUGUGGGUGUUGGCUGGAGGUUGCUUGUUGGAGAGAAGGAAAGUUGCAUUCUGAUGUGCAGAGGUAUCCACAGGCCUUGAUCAUAUUUCAGUUCCCCGUUUUGCUAGAUAGUGUGAAACAGCAUCUCUCUGCUGCAAGCUGACAUCAGUUAGGAGACGUUAGCAGGUGCUGCAAAUCAGAAGGAGGACUUAUUUGGUCUGGCUCUAUGCACGUUGCACUGACAGGGGUACAUUGGUAAAAGCAUGAAUUAAAAAUCAAGAAGCCCUGAAUGGCACACAGAUGUGAUAGGACCCAACCCAGCUGCUUGUUUAAGCUCUGUGAUACUGACAGGAAUGGACCUAGAACUCCUGACUCAAAGUUGAACAUCCAACUGCAGCAACUUAGACUCCAGAAGCCAGAUUAUUGGAAAUAUGCUGUCUCUUGUUGAAAUACUACAGGUGCUAUUUUGACUGGAAUUUGUUGAGUUGCCAGGCUUAGCCCCGAGACUGAUGGUAUCCAGAAACUGGUGCCAACUGCUCACAUCCCACUGGCCUCUCUCCAUGUCUUCAUCCCUCUUGUCCUGGCAACCAAGCACUCUGCUGUCUAAUGCUGAACUUUUCAUAAUUAAACUUGUCAGAAUUUUCUAAUUAAAUAACAACUCAGCAUUAAA